rnacentral:rRNA from 1 species
UACGUAGGGUGCAAGCGUUGUCCGGAAUUUAUUGGGCGUAAAGAGCUCGUAGGCGGUUUGUUGCGUCGGCUGUGAAAUCCCGAGGCUCAACCUCGGGUCUGCAGUCGAUACGAGCAAACUAGAGUGUUGCAGGGGAGACUGGAAUUCCUGGUGUAGCGGUGAAAUGCGCAGAUAUCAGGAGGGAACACCGGUGGCGAAGGCGGGUCUCUGGGCAACAACUGACGCUGGAGGAGCGAAAGCGUGGGGAGCGAACAGG